UAGCUAGUUGGUAGGGUAAAGGCCUACCAAGGCGACGAUCGGUAGCUGGUCUGAGAGGAUGACCAGCCACACUGGAACUGAGACACGGUCCAGACUCCUACGGGAGGCAGCAGUGGGGAAUAUUGGACAAUGGGGGCAACCCUGAUCCAGCAAUGCCGCGUGUGUGAAGAAGGCCUGAGGGUUGUAAAGCACUUUCAGUGGGGAGGAGGAUACUUAGGUUAAGAGCUAGAGUAUUGGACGUUACCCACAGAAGAAGCACCGGCUAACUCCGUGCCAGCAGCCGCGGUAAUACGGAGGGUGCGAGCGUUAAUCGGAAUUACUGGGCGUAAAGGGUGCGUAGGUUGUUUGUUAAGUUAUCUGUAAAAUCCCUGGGCUCAACCUGGGCAUGCCAGAUAAAACUGAUGAACUCGAGUAUAGGAGAGGGUAGUGGAAUUUCCGGUGUAGCGGUGAAAUGCGUAGAGAUCGGAAGGAACACCAGUGGCGAAGGCGGCUACCUGGCCUAAUACUGACACUGAGGCACGAAAGCGUGGGGAGCAAACAGGAUUAGAUACCCUGGUAGUCCACGCUGUAAACGAUGUCAACUAGCCGUUGGUUAUAUGAAUAUAAUUAGUGGCGC
rnacentral:rRNA from 1 species